GACGAACGCUGGCGGCGUGCUUAACACAUGCCAGUCGAACGGAAAGGCCCUGCUUUUGUGGGGUGCUCGAGUGGCAAACGGGUGAGUAACACGUGAGUAACCUGCCCUUGACUUUGGGAUAACUUCAGGAAACUGGGGCUAAUACCGGAUAGGAGCUCCUGCUGCAUGGUGGGGGUUGGAAAGUUUCGGCGGUUGGGGAUGGACUCGCGGCUUAUCAGCUUGUUGGUGGGGUAGUGGCUUACCAAGGCUUUGACGGGUAGCCGGCCUGAGAGGGUGACCGGCCACAUUGGGACUGAGAUACGGCCCAGACUCCUACGGGAGGCAGCAGUGGGGAAUAUUGCACAAUGGGCGGAAGCCUGAUGCAGCAACGCCGCGUGCGGGAUGACGGCCUUCGGGUUGUAAACCGCUUUCGCCUGUGACGAAGCGUGAGUGACGGUAAUGGGUAAAGAAGCACCAGCUAACUACGUG
rnacentral:rRNA from 1 species